rnacentral:lncRNA from 1 species
GUCGGGUUAGGGUUAGCUGAUUAGGCUUAGUGGGUUAGGUUUGUAUUGGGUUUGGGUAGAAAACGAUUUGGGCCGGAUGUUGGGUAAUGUAAUUAGGUAAUGGGUUAAUAAUCAAGUUUGUGAUAUUGGGGCUUAGCGGUCUGAUUAAUUGGGCCUACUGUUGUAAUAAACUGGACAUUUAUUUAUUUUAUAUUUUUUAUUUUGGUUUUAAUACUUGGGUUCGGGCCGGGAAAAAUUUGGGUAUUACAGCUGUCCCUCUUUGCUCGUUGUUGUGUAACAA